GCGUGAUGAUGCAAGAGGAUGGUGGUUGAAGUUGCGAAUAGCCUACCAAUAAGCACAUUCUUUUUCAAUUUAUUAAGUCUGGCAGUAGCCAACUAUCAGAUGCAGAGAAUCUCUAUUUUGGCUGCUGCUGACAACAACUGCAUGAACCAGCCUAGACAACAACCCAAACUGUACUGUUCCAUAAAGAAGUCAGCCAGAGUUGAUACCAAGAUUGACGUGGGCCACCAUUCAAACAAACAGAUGCC